GGAAGUCAAGGCUGAGAUUGCUGUCACCAAAGAAAACUGCGAAGCCUGAAAGGAAACCUGUCAAACAAGCUGAAGACAAAGAGAAGCAUCCACCACCAACGAUGAAUGGAAAGAGAACCCGCUUCCUAAGAGGACAAGUCUGAAGAUAACAUCACAGAAAGGAAGAAAUCAGGCCAGAAAUUCUUCCAGUGCAUCUACGUUCCGGGUAAAAGCGUCCAGUAU